rnacentral:rRNA from 1 species
AUGCCUCAACUUGAUAAAUUAACUUAUUUCUCACAAUUCUUCUUGUUAUGUCUUCUCCUCUUUACUUUUUAUAUUCUCUUAUUUAAUAAUAAUAAUGGAAUACUUGGAAUUAGUAGAAUUCUCAAACUACGGAACCAACUGCGUUCGCACUGGGGGGGCGAGAUCCGGAGCAAGGACCCUAAGAAUCUGGAAGAUAUCUCGAGAAAAGUUUUUAGCACCAGUCUCUCAUAUAUGUACUCCAGUUUAUCCGAAGUAUCCCAAUGGUGUAAGACCGUCUACUAUUUGGGAAAAAGGAGGAAAAUCACUCUGAUCUCUGAUUUCGGAGAAAUAAGUGGCUAA